rnacentral:tRNA from 1 species
CCUUGGCUGGCUUAGUCAGUAGAGCUCUUGUGACUUCUGAUCACGGGUUGUGAGUUCAAGCCUCAUGUUGGGCA